rfam:Gloeophyllum trabeum ATCC 11539 unplaced genomic scaffold GLOTRscaffold_00005, whole genome shotgun sequence.
GGCCGACUAGCUCAGUUGGUUAGAGCGUGGUGCUAAUAUACAUACUCCCCGUAGUAUCUUGCGACGCCAAGGUCGUCGGUUCGACCCCGGCGUUGGCCA